rnacentral:lncRNA from 10 species
GGGGAAGUCGGGGAAAGGGGAGAUGUUUGCCAAAGAGUGCAAAGUUUCAGUUACAUGGGAGGAAUCAGUUCUGGUGGUUUAUUGCAAAACAUGGUGACUAUAGUUAAUGUACUAUGUAUUUCAAAACAUCUAAAAGAAAAGAUUUUAAGUGUUCUCACUACAAAGCAAUGAUAAAUAUUUGAGAUGCUGAACUUUUUAAUACUUACAUUCUUAAGUUUUUCAAGGCUUUUCUAAUAAGUCUGGCAUUCCUGCCCUUGGCAGUGUGAGAUGGAAGAUGAUGUCGCAAGGGUGGCCGAGAAGCAGCUGGGCUGAGCUGCUAAAAGCACAGAGACCGGGGCCAGACUCCUCAGCCUGAAAUCCUGCUUCCACUAAGUACCAGCUGGGUAACUUCAGGUGGAGCCCAGUUGACAGGAAAUGUUUCUCCAGAAGCUGAAAAGCUGCCUGGUAAAGGCCUUUCAUAAAAUGGUCUGCGUUUGGGACCAGGAAGACAGAAGACUCCUCAAGAAGAGAACUGGAACCUUAACCCACUUCAGACUUCUUCAUGUCUGAAGCUUAUUUCCACCAUCCCAUUGAGAACCAAAGAAGCGAGCUCCUUGGAGAAUCGGCUCCCACCUGGACCUUCUGUUUAUCCUUCCAAUAGCUGCUGCAUUCAUCCUUCCCAGCUAAUGACACUUCCAGCCUUUCGUGUUUCAAAGUAUCACGGACUUUGCAAAAGAUUCCAGGUUUCUAUGGAGCAGAUAGUACUUUUAACAAUCAACAUGUGCAUUAUUAUUUCCUCCUAAGGCAUACUUAGACAUCAAUGCAUGCUACAGCAAGGCAACUUAUCUCACCCUCACCAAGAUAUUCUGCACUUUCAGUGGCAAAAUUUUAAAGAAAAGGAGACAAAAUGGAACACAAAUUCAAUAUGACUAUUGUCAUCCUUCCCUCCCAGGAAGUGUAGGAAUCAUCCAAAGUGGUAAAAGAGCAGCGCUUCUAAACUCUGACUUCACAUGGAAAAUAACGCGACUACUAAAACUGAUAACAAUAGCAGUCCAUGCCAUUUGACAGGGGUGUGUAGGAGAGGUGGUGAGCAAGCUGAAAUCCCUUCAGGUAUUUGCAGAACUUCUGAGCAAAAGCUAAAGCUAAAAUUAACAUUAAAUAUGCAAAGUAUUUUUAACCCAACAUAAAUUAACAAUGUUCCUAUUUCAAUUCUAUUGCUCUUGGGAUGACUAUGUCCUUUGGAAAAUGUUUAAAUAACUUAAGAUUUCCGUCAUGAGUUUACUAUUUCAAAACUUAUUUUUUUAACUGCAAGAUACCUUUUUAUGUUACCAGGAGUGUUACCAGCUAGCUGCCAAAACCUGGUUGAAGUUCUCCCACUUUAUAUUGUAAAUGAUUACAUAGUUUAUUAGUAAUUGUGUCCCCUGUCCACCCACUGGUCCAUUUGGAUGGGAAAAUUUUCAAAAUAACUUCAUAAGAAAAUGAUAAGAAAAAUGUGGUCACCGGUAUCAUGAGGAACUUCCAGACAGCUCAGCACAGAAAAGUUGGUUUUAAAGUCCUCGAAAACGUUACUGGUAAUGAGCUUCCACUCCUUUAGUCGUUGUGCAUAGAUACACCACAGAGUAAGGUUAUAAAAAUAAAAGUUGUUUCAGGAAAUUUCCCAUUGCUUUAUUACAUGAUCAAUGAGAGUAAAGAGAAAUGGAAGUUGACGGGAUAGGAAUGAGGGACCUGCUGGAAGAGUGAUCACAAUAUCCAAAGGAAAUUUAAAAUGCCUGUUGAAAGUGACACACUGACUCAGCAUUGUCACUAACACAGAAUCACCACAAUAAAACUGCCCUGCCCUGUGGCUCCUGGCACCUCAUGUCUCUUUAGGUUAAGCAGAGAGAGGUCUGUGUUGCUUUGGAACAAGGUGCAGCCUCCCCCUAAGCUACAGAGAGGCUCUGAGCAAGGACCAGCCCCCAGGGUGCAGCCUUGCCCACCCUCCACAGGCUCCAGAGCAGAUGGGGUGGCUCUAGAGAGCAAAUGGUCAAAACUUCUAGCGCUAAAUAGAGCUUUAACAUGUCUCAGAUACUAGCAAAAUAGAGAAGCCUCAGAUGGCUUUAGGUCUGGAAGUGUGUUGCUAAAAAUGCUAAAAAUUUAACAAACUUUUAUAAAUCCUUAAGAGAUCUUUUUCAGUUUUCUGAAGUACCGUUAAUUGCCCAUGUGUUUCAACUUGCAGACAGGCAAGAAUUUGGCUUUGUAUGUUUAAAAAUAUGUACAUCUUGGUUCAUAAUGAUGAUUUAUUUCCAAAAUGGUGACUCAUACUAGGAUUACAUAUAAAACAUCAUAUGUGGGCCUUAUAUGUAAUAAUGUGUAAGUAUAGUAUAUUAAUUACUCUGACAUAACAUGGGCAGAGAUUUGUAUUAAUUUAUUUCUAUUUCAUCUAAUCAAUAUUUUACUUAAGUCUAAAACCUUAUAUAUAUAUUGACAUGUAUCAUCGUAUAUAUAAACAUUGUAUCUAUUGAACUGAGCAAUCUGUAGUUUAUUUUAAAUUCUGAUACAUUAAAGAUGUGGAGAACUACAUGAAAUCAUAGGAAAUUUUUCAUUCAAAUAAAAAUUGCAAAGAGCCAUUCCUAAAUGGCAACCUGGUUUUAGCUGCAAAGACAGAAAGUGAUAAGAAGAGACCCCGAAAAUAUAAGUUAUGCAAAAUGUCAACUUAUACAUAGAUGGCUAAACUCAGGGUUCACUGUCUGGACUUAGCAGAGAACAUGUUUGCAGAAAAAGAAAAUGGAGGCCGGGUGCAGUGGCUAAUGCCUGUAAUCCCAGCACUUCGGGAGGCU